rnacentral:rRNA from 1 species
GGUUGCUGCUAAGUCGCAAGACGAUGUAUAGGAGCUGACGCCUGCCCGGUGCUGGAAGGUUAAGGGGAUCUGUUAGAGCAAUCGAAGCAGUGAACGUAAGCCCCAGUAAACGGCGGCCGUAACUAUAACGGUCCUAAGGUAGCGAAAUUCCUUGUCGGGUAAGUUCCGACCCGCACGAAAGGCGUAACGAUUUGGGCACUGUCUCAACAACAGAC